CCAGACUCCUACGGGAGGCAGCAGUGGGGAAUAUUGCACAAUGGGGGGAACCCUGAUGCAGCGACGCCGCGUGGGUGAAGGAGUGUUCCGGUAUGUAAAGCCCUAUCAGCAGGGAAGAACAAUGACGGUACCUGACUAAGAAGCACCGGCUAAAUACGUGCCAGCAGCCGCGGUAAUACGUAUGGUGCAAGCGUUAUCCGGAUUUACUGGGUGUAAAGGGGGCGUAGACGGCGACGCAAGUCUGGAGUGAAAGCCCGGGGCCCAACCCCGGGACUGCUCUUGGAACUGCGUGGCUGGAGUGCAGGAGGGGCAGGCGGAAUUCCUGGUGUAGCGGUGAAAUGCGUAGAUAUCAGGAGGAACACCGGUGGCGAAGGCGGCCUGCUGGACUGCAACUGACGUUGAGGCCCGAAAGCGUGGGGAGCAAACAGGAUUAGAUACCCUGGUAAG
rnacentral:rRNA from 1 species